UUUACUAUGCCUCCAUCAACAAGUGCUGGCUGGAAAAGUUGUUACGUCCCAACGGAGAUUCUUAGGCAAGACGGAGGAGUUCAGAUACGCAGUCUGCCAGAAGAACCUUGCCCGGGAGGGGUUGCUAGCCUUGAGCUAUAGGCACUGACAUUCAGAACCUCGGGGAACGACUAUAUGCUGCCGUGAAGAACUACAGACCACCACCGCCCUCAGACCUCUGUAAGUUAUCACAUGUCGAGAGUGGCCAGGAGAAUCCAAAUGCCAGCAGAAAGGUUCUCUGCCUGGUCCUGAUGAGGAGCCUUCGGCCGUAGGAAGGUUGGCAGCGUCCUUACUGGACUUGCUGCUGUUCUGAGGGCCAGCAACUCAAAGAGGAGCAGCUCAGCCCAUUUCGUUGCUUUCAGUGAUCCUGUUUUGAGGAAGCAUGUAAGUACAGAAGGGGUCUGGGAGGGUUUUCAAACAAGACAGGAAAGAGCAAGGAAGAUUUGAGAGCAUAGAGAAACCAGGUGCCAUGGGUACUGAAGUUGUUA